CUGAGGAACAAGUCCAGGCAAGUCCUGGGCAAAGGUAGAGAAAUCUUCUGUCUGGAGGACACUGCUGGACAGGUCCUGGCUAAGGAUUGUGAAAUCCUCUAAGGAGCACAGAUGGACAAGGCCAGGGGCAACGAGAGAGAAGAUAAGCUGCUGCUAAUGGCUGGGAAACGGUCUUUUUGUGUGGACUUAUCUCGAGGAAGAUGGCCAUCUCAGGAGGUAUGCCCAGGACUCUUGCUCAAGCACCCAGGAAUGUCA
ensembl:lncRNA